GGGUUGUGAGGUUAAGCGACUAAGCGUACACGGUGGAUGCCCUGGCAGUCAGAGGCGAUGAAGGACGUGCUAAUCUGCGAUAAGCGUCGGUAAGGUGAUAUGAACCGUUAUAACCGGCGAUUUCCGAAUGGGGAAACCCAGUGUGAUUCGUCACACUAUCAUUAACUGAAUCCAUAGGUUAAUGAGGCGAACCGGGGGAACUGAAACAUCUAAGUACCCCGAGGAAAAGAAAUCAACCGAGAUUCCCCCAGUAGCGGCGAGCGAACGGGGAGCAGCCCAGAGCCUGAAUCAGUGUGUGUGUUAGUGGAAGCGUCUGGAAAGGCGCGCGAUACAGGGUGACAGCCCCGUACACAAAAAUGCACAUACUGUGAGCUCGAUGAGUAGGGCGGGACACGUGGUAUCCUGUCUGAAUAUGGGGGGACCAUCCUCCAAGGCUAAAUACUCCUGACUGACCGAUAGUGAACCAGUACCGUGAGGGAAAGGCGAAAAGAACCCCGGCGAGGGGAGUGAAAAAGAACCUGAAACCGUGUACGUACAAGCAGUGGGAGCACAGAGCAAUCUGUGUGACUGCGUACCUUUUGUAUAAUGGGUCAGCGACUUAUAUUCUGUAGCAAGGUUAACCGAAUAGGGGAGCCGAAGGGAAACCGAGUCUUAACUGGGCGUUAAGUUGCAGGGUAUAGACCCGAAACCCGGUGAUCUAGCCAUGGGCAGGUUGAAGGUUGGGUAACACUAACUGGAGGACCGAACCGACUAAUGUUGAAAAAUUAGCGGAUGACUUGUGGCUGGGGGUGAAAGGCCAAUCAAACCGGGAGAUAGCUGGUUCUCCCCGAAAGCUAUUUAGGUAGCGCCUCGUGAAUUCAUCUCCGGGGGUAGAGCACUGUUUCGGCAAGGGGGUCAUCCCGACUUACCAACCCGAUGCAAACUGCGAAUACCGGAGAAUGUUAUCACGGGAGACACACGGCGGGUGCUAACGUCCGUCGUGAAGAGGGAAACAACCCAGACCGCCAGCUAAGGUCCCAAAGUCAUGGUUAAGUGGGAAACGAUGUGGGAAGGCCCAGACAGCCAGGAUGUUGGCUUAGAAGCAGCCAUCAUUUAAAGAAAGCGUAAUAGCUCACUGGUCGAGUCGGCCUGCGCGGAAGAUGUAACGGGGCUAAACCAUGCACCGAAGCUGCGGCAGCGACGCUUAUGCGUUGUUGGGUAGGGGAGCGUUCUGUAAGCCUGCGAAGGUGUGCUGUGAGGCAUGCUGGAGGUAUCAGAAGUGCGAAUGCUGACAUAAGUAACGAUAAAGCGGGUGAAAAGCCCGCUCGCCGGAAGACCAAGGGUUCCUGUCCAACGUUAAUCGGGGCAGGGUGAGUCGACCCCUAAGGCGAGGCCGAAAGGCGUAGUCGAUGGGAAACAGGUUAAUAUUCCUGUACUUGGUGUUACUGCGAAGGGGGGACGGAGAAGGCUAUGUUGGCCGGGCGACGGUUGUCCCGGUUUAAGCGUGUAGGCUGGUUUUCCAGGCAAAUCCGGAAAAUCAAGGCUGAGGCGUGAUGACGAGGCACUACGGUGCUGAAGCAACAAAUGCCCUGCUUCCAGGAAAAGCCUCUAAGCAUCAGGUAACAUCAAAUCGUACCCCAAACCGACACAGGUGGUCAGGUAGAGAAUACCAAGGCGCUUGAGAGAACUCGGGUGAAGGAACUAGGCAAAAUGGUGCCGUAACUUCGGGAGAAGGCACGCUGAUAUGUAGGUGAAGUCCCUCGCGGAUGGAGCUGAAAUCAGUCGAAGAUACCAGCUGGCUGCAACUGUUUAUUAAAAACACAGCACUGUGCAAACACGAAAGUGGACGUAUACGGUGUGACGCCUGCCCGGUGCCGGAAGGUUAAUUGAUGGGGUCAGCGCAAGCGAAGCUCUUGAUCGAAGCCCCGGUAAACGGCGGCCGUAACUAUAACGGUCCUAAGGUAGCGAAAUUCCUUGUCGGGUAAGUUCCGACCUGCACGAAUGGCGUAAUGAUGGCCAGGCUGUCUCCACCCGAGACUCAGUGAAAUUGAACUCGCUGUGAAGAUGCAGUGUACCCGCGGCAAGACGGAAAGACCCCGUGAACCUUUACUAUAGCUUGACACUGAACAUUGAGCCUUGAUGUGUAGGAUAGGUGGGAGGCUUUGAAGUGUGGACGCCAGUCUGCAUGGAGCCGACCUUGAAAUACCACCCUUUAAUGUUUGAUGUUCUAACGUUGACCCGUAAUCCGGGUUGCGGACAGUGUCUGGUGGGUAGUUUGACUGGGGCGGUCUCCUCCUAAAGAGUAACGGAGGAGCACGAAGGUUGGCUAAUCCUGGUCGGACAUCAGGAGGUUAGUGCAAUGGCAUAAGCCAGCUUGACUGCGAGCGUGACGGCGCGAGCAGGUGCGAAAGCAGGUCAUAGUGAUCCGGUGGUUCUGAAUGGAAGGGCCAUCGCUCAACGGAUAAAAGGUACUCCGGGGAUAACAGGCUGAUACCGCCCAAGAGUUCAUAUCGACGGCGGUGUUUGGCACCUCGAUGUCGGCUCAUCACAUCCUGGGGCUGAAGUAGGUCCCAAGGGUAUGGCUGUUCGCCAUUUAAAGUGGUACGCGAGCUGGGUUUAGAACGUCGUGAGACAGUUCGGUCCCUAUCUGCCGUGGGCGCUGGAGAACUGAGGGGGGCUGCUCCUAGUACGAGAGGACCGGAGUGGACGCAUCACUGGUGUUCGGGUUGUCAUGCCAAUGGCACUGCCCGGUAGCUAAAUGCGGAAGAGAUAAGUGCUGAAAGCAUCUAAGCACGAAACUUGCCCCGAGAUGAGUUCUCCCUGACUCCUUGAGAGUCCUGAAGGAACGUUGAAGACGACGACGUUGAUAGGCCGG
rnacentral:rRNA from 1 species